ACGGGGGGGGCAAGCGUUGUUCGGAAUUACUGGGCGUAAAGGGCUCGUAGGUGGCCAACUAAGUCAGACGUGAAAUCCCUCGGCUUAACCGGGGAACUGCGUCUGAUACUGGAUGGCUUGAGUUCGGGAGAGGGAUGCGGAAUUCCAGGUGUAGCGGUGAAAUGCGUAGAGAUCAGGAGGAACACCUGCGGUGUAGACGGCUGGCUGGACCACGACUGACGCUGAGGCACGAAAGCGUGGGGAGCAAACAGGA
rnacentral:rRNA from 1 species